AUGCCCCAGCUACACACGCACAUAGACAGGCGUCGUCGGUCUCGGACGGACGCGCCGCUCAAGCUAGAGAAACCCGUGCGCCUUGUCGCGUCCUGUCCUCCCCAUUUCUCCUCAUCUCCGCGGCCUCGGCGGGCGAACUGCUCCUACCUACUCCAUUUAGGCAGGCAGCAGCAUCGUCUGGCCAGAGCUACACGUAGCGCCUGCGGAUUCAUGCCCACGCCGGUGGCUGCAGGUGGAUGGAUGUCGGUCGGGGUUUGGAACAUGGGGGCGUUGUGGCACAUGUGUGCACGCAUGUUCGCCUCCCUUUUGGUUGGUCAUGUGGGAGCAGAGCAUCUGCAUCUCUCCUCUUGCGAGUGA
rnacentral:rRNA from 1 species